AGCUAAAAUAUUCAGGACCAAUCAAUGUGACAUGUCAUCUAGCAUAUUCUCCAGCCCAAAAGUAUACUAUUACAACAUAUAUCCGAGCCCAAUUAAUUUUGUGGAUUGGUCUUCCGUAAACUCAUUAUGUGGCAAGAAAGUAAAUAUUAACCUCUACUCCACUUACGUCGUUAACUCUCUUCAUCUCCCUCAUUGUGACCAGCCAAAACCAAACCUGAUAUACUCUUCAAGAUCUCCAAUGUAACGCCUACCAUUAUGAUUUAUUGAGGGCUUCUUCAUGAAAGUAACUAUAGAAAGCAAUCAACCUCUUCAACAUCCCUACCUUCACAACACUGUAUAUAGAUAUAUGUCAGCUGGUUCUCUCGCAUCCCUCCUACUCCACAAAAUUUGCUAAAAUUCAUUCACAUCCAUAUGGAAAAGAACACAGCAGAAUAAACCAGACCCGUCUGUUUAUUUCUUCGACUAUGCUAAUGUUAGACAAAGAGAUACAGAAACUUUCCGUAAAUUAUUUAUUUUAUUAUGAUUUUUUUUUUGUUUUUGGAGAUCUUUAUAAUUUAAAACAUUGUUGAUCUAAUCUAAUUUUUACCCUUCUUCUGUUACAGAAUGGCGAUGAAACAUCUUUUUCUUACAGUUGACUGAAUGUGCUUUGAGCCCUUGAUAGUAACUGAGUAAUCAAGUAUUAACAGUACAAUAUUUUUAUUGUAGCGUUUAAAACAAGAUCAGCUGCAUAACACUUUCUAUGCUCUUAUUGAUACGAAGGGACUGCGGAAGAAGGUAUUGUUGUUAAUUGGAGGUGGAUGCAUUCGGCUAAGAUUUGCAUCGAAAGUGGAUGCCAUUAAAGGGACUCUAGCAGAAGAUAAAGAAAAGGUGCUGGCGUUGAUAAGAAAGCAUUGAGCUGCCUGUUGAAUUUAACCGCUAAGAACGCUGGUGUUUAUGGUAGUGUUGUCAUCGAAAAGGUACUCUCUAGCUGCAACCAGAAAAACUGCCACAACAAUGCAGCUGACACAUACAAAGAUCUAUUUUUAGCAGUAAUCAUUGAUCCAACCAAAGUGAGUAAAGAUCCUUAUUUUAUUGCAUAUUGAAAUAUCAUAUUUUUUAUGUUCUAAACGAAAGUUUUUGAAGGUUGUAAGAUGUUGCUUAGAGUAUGCUUCAGCCGUGGCUAAGACAUUUUUUUUAUGUCUGAUUGUGUUGUUGUUGAGAUGAAGGAGCCUGAAUCAGCAUUUCCCGCUGGUAAACCUAUGGACAAUUCAGGCUUCUCUGUAUUCUUUUCUAUCCAACCCUCAGAUACAUUUUCGAUGAAGGAUUCAGGUUCACUCAUAUCAGUUAUGGUGAUGUACCAGAAACACUGUCGAUGAACGAUCCGCUCACUGCUGUCAAUAAUGCCACACAAGCAUCUGAUCGUCUUCAUCAAGUGUUCACAAUGCAGUCACUCCAUCGGAAACAGCAAUCUGAUUUUUGUGCAACAACAAGUUCUUUGUAUAUCACUCGAGUUGGCUGUUUCUAUUGCAUAUUGAAAGACUAAGAAGUCAGGACACAGUUGUGUGUUCUUCUUGCUGUUGUAGUUCAAAUUCAGAAGGAAAAAAUUGGUUGGCAGAAGAGAAAGGAGUUCCUUUUGCACCAACAAAGAAUCGUCAAGAUUUAGGACUGGAUAAUUUAUGUAAAACGUGUUAAGGUGUCCAGCUUUAUUUUUUUUAAGAACAGGUUUAUAUAGCUUCGUUUUCUUCUGCUUCUGUCUUAUGGCUGGGUUUCACUGAUUACCCUUUUAGUAACAUUUUUCCAUGAUCCCGCAACUGUUUUGAGUAAAAUCUCUUUUGCUGGGUUAUAGGGUUCUCUGUUCCUCAAACUAUUAAAGUUUCUGACUCUAUGCUUCUCAUGAUCCCUUUGGCUGAGUCAUGCUUAUUUAUUUUUAAUACUUCUUAGGGCUUAUAGUCUAUAGAAAGUAUGUUCAUACGUACGUGUAAUCAUUUUGAUGCCUUCGAGAAUUGACAAACAGAGGCUUCAGUGAAAUCAGACGAGCUUCUUUUGUUGUUAAUCAGACGAGCUUCUUUUGUUGUUAAUAUGGAAAGUAUGUUGUUGUUGUUGUUUUUGUUGUUUCUAUUUCUUUCUUGUGUAAUAAGUUGCUUGCAACAAUGUGAAAAAUUGAAAAUGGUAUAAUAUUAAUAUUUUACCAAAAAAAAAAAAAAACCCUCAACUCUCCCUUAGACAUGAUCAUUUUACGGGAAUCCGACGCAACUAUGAGCUGACUAUAUGUUCAAAAAAAAAAGCUAUGAUCUGGCUACAAUUUAGUUUACAUAGAACGUUUUUUAAAAACUGUUAAUUACAUUAGGGGUGGACGUUCGGGUGUCCAUUCGGAUUUGGUUCGGAUCUAAUCGGGUUUUGGAUUUUCGAAUUUAAAGAUUUCAGUCCCAUUCGGGUAUUUCUAAAUUUCGGUUCGGGUUCAGUUUGGAUCUUUGCGGGUUUGGUUCGGGUUCGGAUAACCCAUUUAAAUUAUUUUUAAAAU